UGCAAAUAUAAAAUCAUUAGCUGUUCACAACUCUCUGGUCUUAAUUCUGACUCUGCAUGUGUUGGUAUUUCAUUUUAUGCCUCUUAGGCUGAAAAAAAGUAGAUUAAAAAAGGAUUUCUUGGGACUGAGGGGAAGAGAGAGGCACAGAUAUUUUUCACUGACAUAGCCAGGGAAUGGUGAACAGUUGGUCAGCAGAAUAGGAGCCACUGAAGAACAUCCUAGGACAUGACCUCUUUUAAACAACAGCCCCAGAAAUGCAGAGUAUCUGCACUCAGGUCUGUGGAUCAUCUGCAGUAGCUUCAGUGGGUCCAAGAGAUACUAAGACUGUCCUGUAGCAGUGACACAUCACACGUGUGGGCCAACAAGCAAUGGGAGAGUUGUCACACUGGUAUGUCAGGUAUCUUCAGUCCCUUAAGCACAGCCCCACUGAGUCCAGCACAAAACGUGCCACAGCCACUGCUGAGGCACCAGCCUCUGGAGCAGGGUGCUGGAGGAACAUGGUACGACAGCACAGUGAGACUCCCGCUGGCAGCUCUUUGCAGCAAAGCAGCACUGAGGUACUUGAGGGAAGAACAGCUCUGGUGAGACCUCGCCUGCAUCCAGGUGAAGGUGGCACUGACUGCAAUUGCAAGGCAAUUCUGGAAGAGUCACAGGCAUCAGAGGACACAGACCUGCUGGGAUAAUGAGCCAAAGCCUUCUGAAGGUGACUGCUGAGCAGAUACCACCAAUGCCAGCAUGCCAGCCAUCAUCUUGACCUCUGAUUAGGCACUGGAGCCGCCUAAACUCUAUGAGAGGUUUCAAGAUAUUUCAAAGAUUUUUUUUUUUCUCCAUGUUAAUUCCAUUGGGAAAGAGAGACCUAUCAGACUGCAACUAUCUUCUUUCCUUUCCACCGAAAGCUGAUCUUCCCAAAGUGGCCAACAUUUCCCAGUGUGUCAAGAUUUUUGUUGUAAAGUCUAUGUUGGCAGUUGGUCACAUGGAAAAAUGUAUUUCCUGUACAAAUUAACAUCUUCUAGAUUCUAUUUUAAAAUAAAUGUUAAUAUAUGCAAGGUUUAA